GGUCCCGUAGCGCAGAGGCAGGCGCACCGCCCAGCCAAGGUGGACACGCCGGUUCGAAUCCGGCCGGGACCA
rnacentral:tRNA from 1 species